ACUUAGUUAUAUCAGCAUGACCACAUUGUGCAAGUGUCCAGAAUUGCUGUACUUGUGAAGUUCUCCGCAUUGGAAAGUCCCUCCUUCCACAGAAGGAAAAAUAAUAAUAAAAAUUGACCUAUCUACACAACUGAGUAGAGCUCAGUGUUAUGUGUGCCGAAUACUUUACCUCACCCAAUCUAAUUUGAAGUAGCGUCCUCCAGCUUUGCUCCUAUUCAGCAAGGAGGCACUUCCAAAGCCAACACAUGCAGGCAAAAAGCUGAAGUGGGAACAGAUCCUGUACAACCUGGCUUCACUCUGGAAAACAUUUUGCAUUCCUUGAAAUUAGCCUGUUUGUUUUAUGAAAUGUUUGGCUUCUCUAUCCUGUUAAAAAACAAAGACACCCCCAUUCAAAUACACACAAAACAAAAAAGCUUCUCUAAUGCAAAUUAACGUUUGUUCUCGGAGGAGGAUAGAGAUCUUUGUGGCAGCCAUUAACAGCUCAGAGUGUCCUUCUCAUCACCCCUGAACCCACCCACUGCAAAGCCCUUCACAAAAGGCCUAAUCUAACAUUUUCCCUUGUUGUUCGCAAUCUUGAAGAACAGCCACAUUCUCAUGGAAAUAGUUGUUAUAUAGCAGUCUGUGUGGAUACAGCUCUAUCAAUUUUUUAAAAAGUACCACUUUAAAAUAACUUGAUUCCCAUCCCAAGCAAAAAACACUAACAUGAAAAUCCUCUAUGCUGUUCUGAAGUUACACCUUUGCAGCUGGUGCAAAAUGAAGGAGCAGCGUAAGAUGCCUGUCUAGACGAGCCUUUAAAUUGCAAGCAUUUCAGGCUACGCUUGCCGAAUUGGUGCUUAUUGUUUAAAUGCAACUUUUCUGUUAAAGAAACUUCAAAGGUAAAUUUCUAGGAACUGUGUAUCUUUAUUAAGACUUGUACACAUUCUGUUUUUUGAAUAAAUGUAAGGCCUGUGGAACAAUAAUAGCCUGUAGAUACCAGAGGGAAACAACUUUUUUUGAGGAGAGAGUAGACUUUUCCCUGCUCUGCAAGCACAACUGAGCCUGUCAUCAAAACCUAAGCCACAAAUUAAAAAAAAAAAAAGAUAGAAAAAAUAAAUCAUCAGUAGAACCACUUCAUUACCAUAAAGCAUUUCAUGAAAUCCAAUUUUCUUUUUCACAGAUUUGUAUGGCCUUGUUUUCAGUUAGGUCACUCCAUUAAUUCACCUGCACUGACACAGCAGAAGAGAGCUCCAUACCCACAUGUUAGAAGACACUGCACCCAAAUGCGAGUUUCAGUUCUUUUACUGACUGCUCAGAAAGCAUCUCAGCUAAAGCACAUCUUGUUGCGAUGUAACUGAAGAUGAAUGCUAACAGCUAUUUCGCCACUAGUGACUUUUCUUUGCUUCUCUCAAAAUUAGCUUUCUAGUUACCCCUGAGUAAAAAUCAGCAAGUAAAAAUAAGAUAUGUUUCUUUCUUGGAGGGGAGAAGCUCAAGAGAUGUAGAGCAGAGUUCACACCAACUCAGGUAUGAAAAGUUGGUUUAACUACUAACACAUCCAAAACCCUCAAAUCUCCAACUACCACACUGACUCCUGGAAAAAAGAAAAGGAGCUUUAGGAGGAUUUUCCCCAAAACACUUCAUAGUGAUUUUAUCAGCAGAAGUGGCAAGACAUAAGAUGUGUAAUAUGUAAUACAUUAAACAUUUUACUGUCUGUGACACACUACUUUAAGCUAUUUAGAGCAGAAACAUGAAUCUGAAGCUUGCAGUUGCCUCCACUAAGAAAAGUAGAGUGAUCUAUGCCAACCCAUACUCAAAAUUACAGUCUCUGUUCUAAAAUAAGUUUGGUCAUAUAGUUCAAGUUAUGACUAAGCUACUAUGUCUUAUAAAAGAACUCGGAUCUGCAAGAAUGUUUCCACAGGCAGUUAAAGCAUUUAGUAGGACAAAAAUACAAGAAAAAAAAAGUUAGCUUUUUUGCCUGCUUGUCUAUUUGCUAUCUGUCUGCAGUCUGCAGGUAAAGUCUAGUUGGUUUUGAGACUAGAGAAAGAAUAUAUAAAAUUCAGAGACGUUCACUCACAAUCACUUCUUCACACACACACCUCCACGCUGCACAUGCCUUCAUCUAUUUCAGCUGCUAAUGACUACAAGAAAGAGGUGAAGAGUCAGCCUAAAUUGGUUCAGUAUUUAUUCUUCACAGCACCACAAGCUUUAAUUUCAUCUACUCUUUGCAUAACUUCAAUAAUAAACACGGUGCUCUCUGUAUUUGAUUCUUAAACCACCCAUAUCUGAAGCACAAUGGGACGUGUCACAGGCACUUGCUUUGCUGCCCUCAUAAUACGGUUUAAUUAUGAUGACUGAACUAACGGGCUCACAUCAUAGACUUUUACAGGUUGACCCCGUGUCAUCCUGAUGUAUCAUUUUGCACCAGUUCAGUGCUGUAAAUCAAUUUAAGAUCUCCAGCAGGUUGAAAAGGCUGGUAAUGAUGCUUUCUCUGCAGUCUCUGGGGACUCCACAUUAUACACAACUUACAUUAUUUAUAAAGCUGAGAUGAUGCCUCCAUUAGGCUUGGACAAGGUGCAGGCGGCCACAGAAGGACCAGCAGAAUGUGCUACAGACACGCCUGGGGAGAGAAGCAGUCUCUGUGGGCUGGGUUAGCUGCAGCUUUUAGUCUUAUUCUCGAGUGCUACUUAAAAACACGCAGAACUAUUGGGGGAAAAAAAUGAAUCAAAGUUUUCUAUUUUUGACUACUCUCCUCUGUGCAAAAGAGAUGUGAGGUAUGAGUUAUGACACGUGUGAAACAGAGCUAUUCUCUCAACAUGUUAGUUUCGGGAUGCGGUAUCUUUAAGCGCUGACAUCCAUUAAACAAUGCCAUGUUUCACAGCAGCGAUCUUUUCCAUUUGCUUGUAUCUGGAAUACACAUCUACUUGCACUCCUCCCCACCUCGAUCCAACAAUACCUCUCCUUCCCCAAAUAAAGCUGAUACCUUGUUUUACAUGCAGCGAACACAGGUUUUUUUCCUAAAAUACGCCAAAAUAACAAUUACAGCUUAUUCUUAAAGAUCAUUUGUAUACCAGAAAAGCAAAGUAUAAGGUCAGACCCCAUAUCUUCUUCAGACUGAUCUACUAACAAAAGAGCAAGCACAGCAGUCCUUCCUCAGUCACAACUCCCACUGACUUCAGUUGAUAAAGAAUAAAUAAAAAAUAAAAAAAAAAUCAGGAUUUGGUCCAUUUUUUGAAUGCAUGACUGAGUGUUUCCACACCAGGACGUUUCCAGCAGCCUCAGGGAGCUGUAUUCAGGAUAAGAGGACUCGGCUGUACAGCCCGAGUACACGAAGAAACGAGACGGAGGAGGGGAAAAUCUCGGGCAUCCAAACACGGAGGAGG